CCAGCACAUGCAGCUCAGCUCAUCACGCACAGCCAGGAACAUGGUGGACCCUUAGCCAGGACAGCCAGGGGAAUCCAUCCCCAGAGCAUCUGGGAUCCAGCCAGGGCUGACUGCAGAGCUGGGUACAAGGACACAAGGUCAAGAGGACUCCAAACCAGCUCUACUUAUGGAAACAAGGUCAAUGAUUGAUUGGUUAUGUCUGCCAUGGCCAUGGACAAGAAGUCAACAAUCCACAGGCCCAACAGUGAAAGACAUUCAGAGUAGACACAGCUGAUCUGAUAAAGAUGGACACUGUUUUGCCAGGAAGACCACCUUCUGUAACACUCCCUGAAAUACUUUUCUCAUUGCUGUGAGGGAACAUCAUAAAUGAGGAAAGGUCUCACAGGUCAGCUGGCGUCCAGGAGGAACAGAUUAGUAAGUGCAGUACAAGCCCGGCCCAACCUUCCUGCCCUGCUUCCCGCAACCCAGCAAGAGGCCUGGUCCACGUUCACACUUCCUCAUCUCAGCGGG